UACAGAGGGUGCAAGCGUUGUUCGGAAUUAUUGGGCGUAAAGGGUGCGUAGGCGGUUUGGUAAGUCUUAUGUGAAAUCUACAGGCUCAACUUGUAGUCUGCAUGAGAAACUGCCGGGCUUGAGUAUGGGAGAGGUGAGUGGAAUUCCUGGUGUAGCGGUGAAAUGCGUAGAUAUCAGGAGGAACACCUGUGGCGAAGGCGGGUCUCUGGUACGUGACUGACGCUGAGACGCGAAAGCGUGGGGAGCGAACAGG
rnacentral:rRNA from 1 species